rnacentral:lncRNA from 1 species
ACCUGCUGUUUGAGGAUUUCUGCCUCCUCCCAUUCUCUUGCAACACAACAUUAUUAGCUCCUACCAUCUGCUUGUUCUGCAACCUUGCGUCGUCUCUCCGCCGGCUCCUACAACUCUCCUUCUCACUUCUCCAUCUGUGUAAGCUCACCACCAUUCUCCUCUAUUUUUCCUCUGCAAAUCUGACUGUUUAUCUUAGUUGUUGCAACCAGCUAAUUUGUCUCGUGGUUUCGGGCUUCAACAGGCUUUUCAUCCAUUGCUAUAUUCAUUGGUUGUUCCUACCCCCAGAAGCACUUUCAUUGCUCGUCUAUCAUUGUUAGUUUUUGCCACUGUCUACAGAUCUACAACUAGUUUUUUCGCCUUAUUGCCAUUGAAGAUGGUUAAUUUACCUGGUCGUUUCCUGCUACAGCACGUUUCCCACCCAAGAUCCGAGCAUCCAAAAACCAAGCACAACUCCCCUCCUUAGGCAUACUAGUAAUCGUGCACGUGCAACGCACGUAUAAUCAUAGAAAGAAAUUUCCUUCGGUCAUCUUAGUUAGGACACAAUUAUUUCAAAUCUUAAUUUGAAUUAAAUGUAGGUUUCACAAAUAUAAUUUUACCAUAUGAGCA